GUGCCCCUGGAGCAGACAAUCUCAUUAUUGAAAUAACAGAAUGCCAUAAAAGCUCAUCACUGCCAAACAGGAUACCAUAAGAAGAUUUAUACAUAACCCAGGUCUUAUGAUUAACAACAGUUGGUUCAUUAUGUGUCAUGUCAACAGACCACUAGUAUAAAAAGUUGUGCAAAUUCAGAUUCUCUCCAACAACUGGCACACUCUCAGCUCCUCUGGGAGAAGGACAAGCACCAACGAGAUGAAGAUUCUGCUGCUGACUCUUGUACUUGGUCUGGUUUGGGCUGACCAGGAACCUCAGUCUGAGGACGACAAAUCACUGCUUUCAGGAGAAAAU